rnacentral:rRNA from 1 species
AGAGUUUGAUCCUGGCUCAGGACGAACGCUGGCUGCGUGCUUAACACAUGCAAGUCGAACGCUGAAGCCCCAGCUUGCUGGGGUGGAUGAGUGGCGAACGGGUGAGUAACACGUGAGUAACCUGCCCCUGACUUCGGGAUAAGCCCGGGAAACUGGGUCUAAUACCGGAUACGACUGCCGGACGCAUGUCUGGUGGUGGAAAGUUUUUUUCGGUUGGGGAUGGGCUCGCGGCCUAUCAGUUUGUUGGUGAGGUAAUGGCUCACCAAGACGACGACGGGUAGCCGGCCUGAGAGGGCGACCGGCCACACUGGGACUGAGACACGGCCCAGACUCCUACGGGAGGCAGCAGUGGGGAAUAUUGCACAAUGGGGGAAACCCUGAUGCAGCGACGCAGCGUGCGGGAUGACGGCCUUCGGGUUGUAAACCGCUUUCAGCAGGGAAGAAGCUUCGGGUGACGGUACCUGCAGAAGAAGUACCGGCUAACUACGUGCCAGCAGCCGCGGUAAUACGUAGGGUACGAGCGUUGUCCGGAAUUAUUGGGCGUAAAGAGCUCGUAGGUGGUUGGUCACGUCUGCUGUGGAAACGCAAUGCUUAACGUUGCGCGUGCAGUGGGUACGGGCUGACUAGAGUGCAGUAGGGGAGUCUGGAAUUCCUGGUGUAGCGGUGAAAUGCGCAGAUAUCAGGAGGAACACCGGUGGCGAAGGCGGGACUCUGGGCUGUAACUGACACUGAGGAGCGAAAGCAUGGGGAGCGAACAGGAUUAGAUACCCUGGUAGUCCAUGCCGUAAACGUUGGGCACUAGGUGUGGGGGGCAUUCCACGUUCUCCGCGCCGUAGCUAACGCAUUAAGUGCCCCGCCUGGGGAGUACGGUCGCAAGGCUAAAACUCAAAGGAAUUGACGGGGGCCCGCACAAGCGGCGGAGCAUGCGGAUUAAUUCGAUGCAACGCGAAGAACCUUACCAAGGCUUGACAUACACCAGACCGGGCUGGAAACAGUCCUUCCCCUUUUGGGUUGGUGUACAGGUGGUGCAUGGUUGUCGUCAGCUCGUGUCGUGAGAUGUUGGGUUAAGUCCCGCAACGAGCGCAACCCUCGUUCUAUGUUGCCAGCACGUGAUGGUGGGAACUCAUAGGAGACUGCCGGGGUCAACUCGGAGGAAGGUGGGGAUGACGUCAAAUCAUCAUGCCCUUUAUGUCUUGGGCUUCACGCAUGCUACAAUGGCUGGUACAGAGAGAGGCGAACCCGUGAGGGCAAGCGAAUCCCUUAAAGCCAGUCUCAGUUCGGAUCGUAGUCUGCAAUUCGACUACGUGAAGUCGGAGUCGCUAGUAAUCGCAGAUCAGCAACGCUGCGGUGAAUACGUUCCCGGGCCUUGUACACACCGCCCGUCAAGUCACGAAAGUCGGUAACACCCGAAGCCGGUGGCCUAACCCCU